UACAGAGGGUGCAAGCGUUGUUCGGAAUACUGGGCGUAAAGCGCGUGUAGGUGGCGAUGUAAGUCGGAUGUGAAAUCCCCAGGCUUAACCUGGGAACUGCAUCCGAUACUGGAUGGCUUGAAUUCGGGAGAGGGAUGCAGAAUUCCAGGUGUAGCGGUGAAAUGCGUAGAUAUCUGGAGGAAUACCGGUGGCGAAGGCGGCAUCCUGGACCGACAUUGACGCUGAACGGCGAAAGCUAGGGGAG
rnacentral:rRNA from 1 species